rnacentral:rRNA from 1 species
AUUGGACGCUGGCGGCACGCCUAACACAUGCAGGUCGAGCGGUAACAUGCUUAGUAGCAAUACUAAGUGAUGACGAGCGGCGGACGGGUGAGGAACACGUAGGAACCUGCCCAAAAGUGGGGGAUAACUAAGGAAAACUUAGCUAAUACCGCAUAAUUCUCUGAGGAGAAAAGUUGCCCGUAAGGGUAGCGCUUUUGGAGGGGCCUGCGUCCGAUUAGUUAGUUGGUGAGGUAAUGGCUCACCAAGACUGUGAUCGGUAACUGGUCUGAGAGGACGACCAGUCACACUGGGACUGAGACACGGCCCAGACUCCUACGGGAGGCAGCAGUGGGGAAUCUUGGACAAUGGGGGCAACCCUGAUCCAGCGAUGCCGCGUGGGUGAAGAAGGCCUUCGGGUUGUAAAGCCCUUUAGGCUGGGAAGAAGAGUGUGGGAUGAAUAAUCCUGUACUUUGACGGUACCAGCAGAAUAAGCACCGGCAAACUCUGUGCCAGCCGCCGCGGUAA